ensembl:lncRNA
GGAGUUUUUAAUCUCCUGGAAAUCUGUUUGCAUCUGUUUUAUGGAUUCCAUUUAUUUCCUAUGUUGGGAUUCCAUCAUGUUCCUCAGUUCCUCUCUAGAUUUAUUAAUCAUGUCUUGCACUAAUGAGUACAAUCUCUGCUCUUAUCUGAGAAAUUAUUUCUGAUUUCAUUUUUUCCAGAUCCUCUUUUUUUGCCAGUUCAGGGAGUCCAGGUGGUUGAGUAUCAGUCAUUUCCCUUUGGGAUUGCUGUAGGUGAUCUGGAAGUCUGGUUUUGAGACUUGUUUAUAUGUCUUCUCAUUUCAACAGGGGUGGGGGGGGGUGCUGUUGGCACCCACGUGGCUCCCUUCCUCUGCUCUGGGAGUGGUGGUAUGGUGGCCCAGAAGCCCCCUCCUCUGUGCUGGGAGCGGUGGUACGAUGGCCUGGUAGCCCCCUCCUCUGCACUGGGAUUGGUGGUAUAGUGGCCUGGAAGCCCCCUCCUCUGUGCUUGCCAUGGGUCUACCUCUCUCAAAAAUCUUAAAUUAACAAACUUUAGAAUUUCAAAUGUCACUCAUGAUUCUUCAAUUCCCCACACACUCAGUUCAUGUCUGCUCACCCAGAUCUCACUAAUGUUAUAAAUUCUUCCAGAUGUACUGAUGCACAGGUGCAAGUCCUGUGUAUUUAUGCUUAUUUCUCCCUGAUAGCUUUUACACUCAUCAGUGACACCUGUCACAUUUGCCUCCAAAAUCUAUAUUCUAAAGUAGGAGUAUAGCUUUAAUUUCUUAAUUUUCUUAGGACUCUUUGUUGGCUUUCCACAUUUUAACUAGCCACAAAGGCUUUAACUUGUACAAAUCUUUGCAUGAAACAGCCUCUGCCUAGGCCUCAAAAUUAUCAUAUUUCACUUUUCUUCUCUAAUCAUGUUAACUUCUUUCAGUUCUUAUAGUAAUCAAGAGGAGAAAAUCACGUGGCUUUCUGGAAAAGGCAAAAAUAAGGAGACAGCAAGACAGAUCAAUGGUUACAAUGUUAAGGAAGUUAAAAGCAACAACAGAGGAUAAAUAGACACAAAAUCUGACCAGAAAGACAUUGUUAUGUAAAGCACACAUUUGUAGGAAAUUCUCUUUUUGGAAAAUGUUCAAAGGGCUGUUCAGUGAAUGAUUCCAGAAAAUAAAAUUCUGAAAAAAAUUAUUAUGGUGAAACUUUUGAGCGUACUGAGAAAUUUUGAUUUGUGAGACAUGGUAAAUAACUCAGUAUGACAUAUUUCUUUUUGACUAAAUAUUGGCUCCCAGAAGAAGGGAAACUAAAACUUUAAUUGUCUCUAUGGAUUUCAAAGUUGUUAAGGUUUAGAUCUAAAAUGUCUCCUAAAAGUGUCAUAUGUUCACAGGUAGAGAUUUCAGAAGGUAAUUAGAUCAUGUGAUUAGAUCAUUUCUGCCUCUUAAACCAUAAGCCAAAAUAAACCUCUCUUCCUUUAACUUUGGGUGUCAGGUAUUUUGUCUUAUGAAUGAAAAAGUAAUUAGUGUGAAUUUCAGUUUAAACAUCCACACACAAUUGGGUCAUUGAAUUCAAGUUGGAGAGAGUCCCAUAGCUAUGGUUUUGCCCCAAUGUCAUGUCAUUCUGAGCCCAAUAUUGGACUUCUAACAAAUACAAUGGUCAGUACAGCAGUGAACCCGUGCUUCAUCCUCUCACUACCAUACUCCUCCUAAAUACUUUUGCAUUGUAUGUAAUUUUCUACAGCUUGCACACCUAUUAAAUGAUAGAGUAGUUCAAAGAACUGACAGGUUUUUUUGGAAUGGUUUCUUUUAUCUAGAGUGUACCUUGAAUAGGGAGUCACUACCAUCAUCAGGGAUCCAAUGUGAAUUUCUCUCUUGGCACCU